UAAUAUUGCAGAUAAGAUAUGAUGAUUAAUGUAACAUAUUUGGUAAUUCUCUAGAUCUAAUGCCAAGGGUAUGCCAUUUCUUUGGCACCGAGAAAUUCAUGGAAUAAUUUAGUCAUAUCAUAUUGGCACCAAAUAGCUUUGUUUAUAUUAGAUGAACGUAACAGAAAACACAACAAAGACUCCAUGGCCCAAUGGCCCCAAUGGAUAAGGCGCUGGUCUACGGAACCAGAGAUUCUGGGUUCUUCGAUACCAAAAAACGAUGUCGUAUAAGGGACACAACACACCAGAGACUCGUACCGAUUCAAUUCCUUAAGCAAAAGCCAUCUCGCCCGAGUUACGUGAGGGCCUUUCUUUGUCAUCUUGAGUAGACGGCGUAUGAGACAGAGGAUAAAGAGAUAGAGAUGCGCGUAUGGGAAAUGCGUUGCCGUUUUCAAGAAUCUUUAGGCAGCUUGAGCAAGAGAUGGAAACUGUGAUUAAGGUACUACAGCCUGGACCAUUGGUAAUAGUGGAACACAAGUUCUCUGCUGAGGAGAUACACGAGGCAAAUGCUACAGUUCGUAGGGCAGUUGAGAAUUGGCGAAGAAAUGCAAAUCUAGAGCACAGGAGUGACAUCCUAAAAUAUUUUAUUCAUGUGAAGAAGUAAUUGCUUCAUUGUCUUCAUGGAUGGUAGAAUGAUUAACAUUUUUAUGUAUUUUGAAGCUCUUCUUAGUCUGCCGUCCAAACAGUUUCCCCCUCAAUUUCCUAAGAAUAGCACUAAACAAUUUUUACAUUCUAGUUUGGACAUGAAUUUUCCAAUAUGACCAUUAAUUAUUCUUUUCUUAUAAUUUUAAUGAAGUAAAGAAUGCAUUUUUUUUU